CCAUGAAGAAGGUUCUGAAGACAAAAAAGGAGAGAAACCUGCACAGGAAUCUUCAGUUGAACACAAAGCAAGAAACCCAGGUGUCCGUUGUGUAUCUGGUCUUCAACCCCCGACGGACAAGUCAUUUCCACCAAGUCUCACACGUGUCUCCAGAACGAAGGCAUAAAGGACAUUUCCAACACUACCCCCCACCAUGGAAGUACCCAUAGAUAUCAAUACACUUGAACUGCAACACCCAAAACCCUAUGUGAGUGUGAGAAAGGGUAAGAAUCCUGUAUGUGAGUAUUUAUGUGAGUGUCUGUGUCCCCAGGAUUUGGCUGGAGCAGGACCCCGCCAUUGCUAAAACGCCUUUUGUCCAAGAAGUUCCCUCACCCCACUGGCCUCCCCAAUCAGGAUUUAGGAAUCGGAGGAGCUAUAGACCAAUCGGGUGAGGGAUGACAGGGGUGGGGCAGCAAUGAUUGGUCUGUUCUUUGCUGCCUCCUGCUGGAGGUGGUUGGUACAGUGAUUCUCUGCAGGCAAUCUACUAAACGGAGAUUAGUAAAUUGCCAGUAGAGAAAUAAGGGGAAAGCAUCUGUAUCACAGAAUGUAAGCUCCAAGGAUCAGUGUUGUGCACCCAAAGAUAUAAGUGGGCUUUUUUUAUUUUUUUCUAUUUAGGGAACGAUCUGGUUCCUGAUUCUAUAUACAGCUGAGAAAAACAGCCAAGGUAAGUCCGCGCCCAGGUCUGGAGACAGUGACUUAGAUUAGGAAUGUCCAACCUGCAACUAACUCCCAGCAACCUUAUGCUGAGAAUUGUAGUUACA